rnacentral:misc_RNA from 1 species
UAAGCCUCAAAACAGUGUGAAUGUUAUUCGCACGGUCACCGUGGACGCAGCGGAGACGCCGUGAAAAUACAGAGACGCCAAAGAGAAGCAGGGAAAUUGCUUUGUAUUUUUGUUUCACUGGCAGCGCGCAGCACAGUCUUCUGUCGCUCGUUGAACUUUCGGGCUUGCUUCUUUCGCUAAAGGCACGACGGAUGAUUCAUGCUGCCGUCGUCAUCGCUUUGUGCGCGACAGUUGAGCGCGAGUGCCGCUGAAUCGCGCACCAACCGACGCGAACUCGAGUGAAGAAAAGCUUGAUGGAUAUUGUGGAGUGCUCCCUGAGCUCCUGUUCACUACUGCGGAGGCUGCAGAGGUCCCUUCACCGUUGCAGCGACCAGCAGCCGUGCUUUUGACCGUCGCCGAGGCCGCCGCGUCGGCAAAAACGACAUUCGCUAUGCCCGUGAACGCAGACUCUGGGGGUGUGAGGAAGCUGCUCCGAGCUGCACUGGCCCGGUGCUGCUCCGUGUCGCACCUGGUGGCCGUUUUGGACGUGCUGGUGCUGCUGGUGGCGGUCGUGUUCCAGGGUUCGACGCUCGACUUCUAUCUGAUCCAGCACAACCAGGGAUCGGUCGCCUGGUACUUCUGGUUCCUGGCCGACUUCCUCGUCCUCAUAGGCAUCAUGUCGGCUGUCUUCCUAGCUCGACGCCACUUCCGGCGGUCAGCACUGUCUCCUGACCAUCCGGACGAUGCCACACCCGAGCCCGAACCCCCGCACCCAAUCCUGGGUCGCUUCCCGCUGUGCUACUUGUCCUGGCUGCUGUAUGCGCUGCUGCUGGUGGCCAAGGUAGUCCUGCUCUUUCGCAUGGAUGUGGCACAGAAGCUGCAGGACGACAACGUGUACGGGUCCCAGUUUCUCAAGGCUGUGGUGGCAGUGGCGGCAGUGGUCUUCCUGCUGCUCGUCGAGAGUCACAACGAAGCAGCCACCAGCUCGGAGCAGCGCACGUACCUGCACUCGCUCUGCACGGGCACCACCUUCGAGGUGCUGGACAGCGUCACUUUCCUCGGGCUGCUGUUCCCCAGCGAGACCCACCUGACGCUGACGUACCCGCUCGAGAACGCCGUGCUCGCGCUCACCUGCGUCAAUUUCGUGCUGCCCACCCUGGCCUUGUUCAAGUUGAGCCAGUGCGAAUUUGGGCAGCUGCCGCGACCCCUUGGACUGAAGUUGCUGUACAAAGUCCUGCACAUGGGCCUUGUCAAUGUUCCCUACCUGGCCAUCCGCAUCUACCUCUGGAGCUUCUUCGGCCACGACGUCUCUCUCUUUCUCAUCAAAAACCUGCUCGGCAUCUACUCCGCGCUGCGCACGCUCGUGCCCGAGCUGCGCCUCUACUUCUUCCUGCUCGCCAACCGGCGCCGAAGUCACACGUGCAUCGCUGCCGACCCCAUAGAGCUCAAGGUCAUCUGUGAAAAGGACGAUCGCCACGGUGAUGACGACGGGAUGCCCAGCCGAUCGGUUGGGAACGUGCUCUAGCAGCCUUUGCGGAGGCCCUUAUCGAGGCCGUCAUAACUUUCCCUUACUUGCAGCACGCCAACC